rnacentral:sRNA from 1 species
ACUGGGCAUGGUAGAGCACGCCUGUAGUUCCAGCUACUCAGGAGGCUGAGGCAGGAGAAUCACUUGAGCCUAAGAUUUUAUCAUCCUGGGCAACAUAGCAAGACCCUGUCUCUU